GAUCCCUAAAUGGCCCCCUCAAGGAUUGAACUCACAACCCUGGGUUUAAGCAGGCUAAUGCUCAAACCACUGAGCUACACCUCCUCCAUCCAUGUAGAUCAAGAGACUAGCAGGUUUAUGGGAGGGGGGUAGGAGCUAUGGCAGCUAAUUCUAUGCAGCUGGAAUAAAGUGCAGCAUUUUAGCCCUCUGGGCACCAGAAUUUUCCAACACACCUUGCUCAUUUCUGGUGCAUUAAUUCACACAAGCCAUUAGCUUUAGUGCAGUGAAUCAGGGCUCUGGGCAUCAUCUGCCCAGCAUUUCACAGCUGACCAAGGAUUGUGGUGGAUUCUCUGACACCAACAAUUUUUAAAUCAAGAUUGGGUACAUUAAAGAUCUGCUCUACUUCAAACAGGA